rnacentral:lncRNA from 10 species
GUCUGCAUUUAACGAAGAUUAGAGCUUUGAGACUGCUGAAUUUUUUCUGAAAACGCUAACCCCAUUUCUAUAUUGGAAGAGUUGUUUCAUGCCAUCCUUCGGCUUUCUUCCAAAAGCUAUUACUGAAAUACUGACAAGUUAGGGGUUCAGACCUCUCAUCUGGCAGAUGUUGAAACUGAAAUGCAGAAGAUUAAGCAUCUGGCCCAAGUCACCAGACUCCUCUCAGUCAAGUGUUCCUUUCACUCUGGAUCUUCAUAUUUCCGUGAAAUCUACACAUCUGCAUAACUUUUUUUGGAAUGAGUCUGAAGCACCAGGGGAAAAGGCAUAGUUGGCACAUGUACAUGAAAUAGAAAAUACCUUCUGAAUGCAAUUAACUGCUCAUGAACUACCAUGAAAUUUGGGACAUAGCUACCUUGUUGGCUAAAAUGAGAAAAGAAUGAUUAUUUGUUCUCAGAUGAGAAACGUCAACAUCUGAAACUCUCCAGUGUUUUGCUCGGUAUCUCUUCUUCCUCGAUAAUAUCAACAAGGCCAAAGGAUGGAAGAAUGGACAAAUAGGCAAACAGACACAGAUAGACACACACACAAUUUCUUAAUUAGUUUUUAUUUAUUUUUUAAAUUUUAUUGCAUGUCC